rnacentral:rRNA from 1 species
UUGAGUAGUAAAAGUUAGAGUCUAAAAACUUAAAGAUUUUGGCGGUAUUUUAUUUCUAUAUAGAGGAAUAUGUUUGAAAUUGAUAAUACACAAUUAUUUACUUAAUAAAUAAAUAUUUUGUUUAUUUCCGUCAAGAAUUAUUUAAAAGUAUUAAUUCUAAAUAUUUUAUUAUAAUAAGUCAGGUCAAGCUGCAGAUUAUUAUUAAGGAAAAAUGUAUUACAUUAAAGUUAUUUUUGGAUUUAUAAAUGAGAUUUUAUAAUGAAAUUGGAUUUAUUAGUAAAUUUAUAGAGUAUAAUAUUUUGAUUAUUGAUCUAAAGUAUGC